CCUACGGGGGCUGCAGUGGGGAAUAUUGGACAAUGGGCGAAAGCCUGAUCCAGCCAUGCCGCGUGUGUGAAGAAGGCCUUCGGGUUGUAAAGCACUUUCAGUGGGGAAGAAAGCCUUGGGGCUAAUACCCUCGAGGAAGGACAUCACCCACAGAAGAAGCACCGGCUAACUCCGUGCCAGCAGCCGCGGUAAUACGGAGGGUGCGAGCGUUAAUCGGAAUUACUGGGCGUAAAGCGCGCGUAGGCGGUCUGAUAAGCCGGUUGUGAAAGCCCCGGGAUCAACCUGGGAACGGCAUCCGGAACUGUCAGGCUAGAGUGCAGGAGAGGAAGGUAGAAUUCCCGGUGUAGCGGUGAAAUGCGUAGAGAUCGGGAGGAAUACCAGUGGCGAAGGCGGCCUUCUGGACUGACACUGACGCUGAGGUGCGAAAGCGUGGGUAGCAAACAGGAUUAGAUACCCUGGUAGUC
rnacentral:rRNA from 1 species